rnacentral:rRNA from 1 species
CCUACGGGGGGCAGCAGUGAGGAAUAUUGGUCAAUGGGCUUACGCCUGAACCAGCCAAGUCGCGUGAGGGAAGACUGCCCUAUGGGUUAUAAACCUCUUUUGUCAGGGAGCAACGCCGGCUACGUGUAGCCGGACUGAGAGUACCUGAAGAAAAAGCAUCGGCUAACUCCGUGCCAGCAGCCGCGGUAAUACGGAGGAUGCGAUCGUUAUCCGGAUUUAUUGGGUUUAAAGGGUGCGUAGGCGGAAUGCCAAGUCAGCGGUAAAAUCGCGGGGCUCAACCUCGCUCCGCCGUUGAAACUGGCGUUCUUGAGUGGGCGAGAGGUAUGCGGAAUGCGUGGUGUAGCGGUGAAAUGCAUAGAGAUCACGAAGAACACCGAUUGCGAAGGCAGCAUACCGGCGCCCAACUGACGCUGAAGCACGAAAGCGUGGGGAUCGAACAGGAUUAGAUAACCCAGUAGUC